rnacentral:rRNA from 1 species
AGUGAACGCUGGCGGUAGGCCUAACACAUGCAAGUCGAACGGCAGCACAGUAAGAGCUUGCUCUUACGGGUGGCGAGUGGCGGACGGGGGAGGAAUACAUCGGAAUCUACUUUUUCGUGGGGGAUAACGUAGGGAAACUUACGCUAAUACCGCAUACGACCUACGGGUGAAAGCAGGGGAUCUUCGGACCUUGCGCGAUUGAAUGAGCCGAUGUCGGAUUAGCUAGUUGGCGGGGUAAAGGCCCACCAAGGCGACGAUCCGUUGCUGGUCUGAGAGGAUGAUCAGCCACACUGGAACUGAGACACGGUCCAGACUCCUACGGGAGGCAGCAGUGGGGAAUAUUGGACAAUGGGCGCAAGCCUGAUCCAGCCAUACCGCGUGGGUGAAGAAGGCCUUCGGGUUGUAAAGCCCUUUUGUUGGGAAAGAAAAGCAGCAGGUUAAUACCCCGCUGUUCUGACGGUACCCAAAGAAUAAGCACCGGCUAACUUCGUG